rnacentral:rRNA from 1 species
CUCGUAGGCGGGGGCGUGCGUCCGGGAAGAAAUCUCAAGGCUCAACCUUGGGGCUAUCUCGGAUACGGCGCUUCUUGAGGGUGAGAGAGGAAAGUAGAAUUCCCGGUGUAGCGGUGAAAUGCGUAGAUAUCGGGAGGAAUACCAGCGGCGAAGGCGACUUUCUGGCUCAUUCCUGACGCUGAGGAGCGAAAGCGUGGGUAGCAACG